AUUGAACGCUGGCGGCAUGCCUUACACAUGCAAGUCGAACGGUAACGGGCCUUCGGGUGCCGACGAGUGGCGAACGGGUGAGUAAUACAUCGGAACGUGCCCGAUCGUGGGGGAUAACGAGGCGGAAGCUUUGCUAAUACCGCAUACGAUCUACGGAUGAAAGCAGGGGACCGCAAGGCCUUGCGCGGGCGGAGCGGCCGAUGGGAGAUUAGGUAGUUGGUGGGAUAAAAGCUUACCAAGCCGACGAUCUGUAGCUGGUCUGAGAGGAUGAUCAGCCACACUGGGACUGAGACACGGCCCAGACUCCUACGGGAGGCAGCAGUGGGGAAUUUUGGACAAUGGGCGCAAGCCUGAUCCAGCCAUGCCGCGUGCAGGAUGAAGGCCUUCGGGUUGUAAACUGCUUUUGUACGGAACGAAAAGCCUUCUUUUAAUACAGGAGGGUCAUGACGGUACCGUAAGAAUAAGCACCGGCUAACUACGUG
rnacentral:rRNA from 1 species